CCAAGAGCCUACUAAGUGAUGGACCAACGCACUUCUAUUCCCAAACACUUCUUUGACUAUUUCUGGUAUCUCCUCGCCCAAGGUAAAAUCCCAGGCCAGAGAAGAGGACACGGAACCUGGGCCACUUCCUUCUAGAGGCUUCUUCUCUACCUCUGGCAAUGUGGCAGAAGGGGAGGAGGAUUGGACAGUAUAAGGGAGUGUCAAGACAUGAAAUCAUCUUUCAGAAGACACCCAGAGAGGAAGCCGUAGGCCAAGAAGCUACAAGCCACCAAACACGAUCAGAAACCCCGUGCCCUUCAUUCAUUGGCUUAUGUGAGCUUCUUGGAGUCACCCCUUGCAUUUGCCUCUCAAUCCCACUCUCCAUUUUCCCAAAGCCUGAUUACCAGUUCCAAUUUACCUUCAGAUCAUCAGGGAUGAAGACUUUGCGAGCUUUCUUAAUCAUGGGCUGUGGCUUCAGUUCUUCCUCAGAGAACUUGCGUUUGCGAGGGUCAAACAUUUCUUGGCCAGGGAUGCUGGAGAGGGCAAGAUCUGCUGGAUCUGGCUCAUAACCCACCGGGACCUGGAUGGUGUCAGGAUCAAUGGGACUUGGUGUAUUGCGGUUUGCUGGCAACAGCUGACCUGGAACAACACAGGAGUUUAAAAUUCAUGAACACUGCAGGGAGACCCAGCAGACUGCUACUUAAUGAUACAACCAAGGAGCUGGAAGGCUGAAUUCAAAGAAGAAAUGGAGUUGGGAAAGCACACAUGCAAGAGACGCGGCCACUAGCAAGGAUGUUUUAAGAGGGCCUGAAUGUCACUGAAGAAGUCUGGGUUUGGUGAACAGACUCAAAGAGUGUCAUGAAGGAAUUGAAGGAGGCACCCCUGGAGACAGAUCAGAUACAAGUCCACUGCAAUAAACCAUGCACCCAUGGCAGUGGAGACAGCGAGAAGGGGGCAAGUUCAAGCAUACUUAACAACUUAGAGAGGACGCAAUGGAGACAAUCUACCCUCCACUUGACGGUUGUACAGGCUAAACCACCGAAAUGCACAAACAUCCAUGGAACAAUGGGUUUAUUGUGUUCCUGAAUACGUCUUACUGGUGAAAGUGAACUUAAUAACAGACCAACAUGUUUAUGCUGGGAGCUCUGAAUCUUAACUUCUGGUUUCACCUGAAUUUUACAAUUGCUUCUUUCACACCCAGAAAAUAAAUGAGAGGACCCAGCAUGGCUAUUGGGCUCAUCUCCUCUUCAUCCUCACUGCCAAUGGUAGGUCACUAUGUGAAGUACCCUUUAGGUUUCAUUAAAAGCUACCCCAGGUUGGAGCAGAAGCCAUUGGCUUGCAUUCUAGCAAAACCGUGAAACCAUGCUUUGUCUGUUUUUUUGGAAGGGCCUGGUAGGGAGCUUGCAAAAUGAGUGCUCUGGGUGACCUUUCAGGUCCCCACUCUGCUUUGAGCUAUUUGCAGCCUGCUUGCCAAAGAGGAAGAGAUGGGCCCCGAGGCACUGGCAGGGGAUGGGGAUUUCUCAUUAGCCAAGCUGCAGCUUAGCUCCAGCUUCUGGAGACUGCUGGGAUCUGUGCUGGAUGGUGUCAAGCUGGAUUUGCUCUUGUGCUGCUUGACAUUGCCUCAGAAAAUGAACCAAACGGGGGUUUUAUUUUCCUUAAAAAACUCUCUUUGAGCUUAACAACAGAACGACCUAACCGCUCCAUCACUACGACCCCUACCACCACCCCACAGGCCAGCGCACCCUUCCCCUACCUUCUCAAGCAUCUGUUAAUACUUCCCAAAUGCAACUGCUCCAAGGUACGACAAGAUCCUCCUUUAUACUUCAGGAUCGUACUUUUAUGCUAUAUUAAAUAUUCUUAAGCUUCACACACACACACACACACACACACACACACACACACACACUCAUACCACAUGGUCUUUCAUUUCAUCUCCACCCAACUCCUUGCCAUGACACCAAUUCAAUGUUCAGCUUCUAUAGAGAGCAUUCCUGGGUUUUUGGUGCACUUCUGAGAUGCUGAGCUAUGACAGUCAUUCGUGGUCAUUCUAACAGGGACUUUCCCAUUUAGGUAGUUCCUUCUCAGCGUUCUUUCUUUUUCGAGCCCUUUCCUCCAGGGGAAGCAGGUCCUCCCUACCUGCAGAAUGGAGAAAACCUGACUGGACCACAGCCCAGGUAAAAAUGGCUUCCCCAGUGGCAAAUGCAGAUGGCAAAGGACCGUGAAACAAAGCCAAGGCCUUUCUCUCCCCCAGAGACUCUGCUGCUGUCUUAUUUAUCCAUAUUUUCCAUAGAAUUACUUCUGCUGGACUCAUCCCCCCCCCUUUAUUCCAAAAUGUCAAUAGUGUCACUGGGAUGCAGGCAGAGGAGCUUUUGUUAUUUUUUUUUCCUACCUUUUGUGGAUUUAAAGCAUCCUCAUGUAAAAAUUGUAGGUUUAAGAAUGUGUCAGUACAUUAACUUUUUACACCGCCAAAAAUAUCUCCUGCAAAAUUCCAAGUGCAGGAAUGUAUCAAGAAAGCUAAAGUCCUAGGUCUUACUAUUCUCCUCUCUCCCAGUCCCUCUCACAUCACUUCUCAGAGGUGACCACCCUCAACCCACUUGGUUGUGAACCUCUCAUGCCUUGGUUUCUUACACAUAAGUGAUUUAAGCCAAGUGGGAUUAUACUAUCCACAUAUCUUAAAUUACUUUUUCAAUAUACCAACAUACCAUAUGCAAGUUCCCACAUCAGUACAAAUAAACUACCUUGUUCUUUUUAAAGGCUGAGC